rnacentral:rRNA from 1 species
AGAGUUUGAUCAUGGCUCAGAACGAACGCUGGCGGCAUGCCUAACACAUGCAAGUCGAACGAGACCUUCGGGUCUAGUGGCGCACGGGUGCGUAACGCGUGGGAAUCUGCCCCUUGGUUCGGAAUAACAGUUAGAAAUGACUGCUAAUACCGGAUGAUGACGAAAGUCCAAAGAUUUAUCGCCGAGGGAUGAGCCCGCGUAGGAUUAGCUAGUUGGUGAGGUAAAGGCUCACCAAGGCGACGAUCCUUAGCUGGUCUGAGAGGAUGAUCAGCCACACUGGGACUGAGACACGGCCCAGACUCCUACGGGAGGCAGCAGUGGGGAAUAUUGGACAAUGGGCGAGAGCCUGAUCCAGCAAUGCCGCGUGAGUGAUGAAGGCCUUAGGGUCGUAAAGCUCUUUUACCAGGGAUGAUAAUGACAGUACCUGGAGAAUAAGCUCCGGCUAACUCCGUG